UACAGAGGGUGCGAGCGUUUGUUCGGAAUUAUUGGGCGUAAAGAGCUCGUAGGCGGUCUGUUGCGUCGGCUGUGAAAACCCGGGGCUCAACUCCGGGCCUGCAGCCGAUACGGGCAGACUAGAGUUCGGCGGGGAGACUGGAAUUCCUGGUGGUAGCGGUGAAAUGCGCAAAUAUACAGGAGGAACACCGGUGGCGAAGGCGGGUCUCUGGGCCGAUACUGACGCUGAGGAGCGAAAGCGUGGGGAGCGAACAGG
rnacentral:rRNA from 1 species